rnacentral:rRNA from 1 species
UACGUAGGGGCGAGCGUUGUCCGGAUUUACUGGGCGUAAAGGGUGAGUAGGCGGUUGUAUAUGUCAGGUGUAAAAGGCUAUGGCUUAACCAUGGUUAGCACUUGAAACUGUACAAUUUGAGUGCAGGAGAGGUAAGUGGAAUUCCUAGUGUAGCGGUGAAAUGCGUAGAUAUUACACAGAACACCGAUUGCGAAGGCAGCUUACUAAUCCAUCAUUGACGCUGAGGCACGAAAGCGUGGGGAUCAAACAGGAUUAGAUACCCU